UUGGUUAAUUGAUUAAAACUAAUUCUUUUUAAUUAUGAUUAAUGAUUGGGAAACAUUUAAUUGUCUUUGAUUGUCAAUCAAAGUUGUCAUCAUGUGGAUCGUUUUAAUUGGUUUUCUUUUCUGUUCUUUUCUGUUUGAGUUUGGAUCUUUUUCUUUGAUGAGAAUGGUGAACAAGCUGAUGUAUAAUAUAGCCAGAGGGUGAUAAAACUCUGUGUUAAGAGGGAAAGAAGAGGAAUUUCAUCUUAUGUUGAUGGAGGAAAAGAAAUCUUUUCAAGUAUUUUUUUUUCGUUUUAUGUGUUUUCUCAUCUUCCAGAGUGAUUAUAUCAACAUGGAACAAUCAGAAGAAAAAGAUGAUGAUGAUGAUGAUGAGAGAUAGUAAAGAAGAAGAUGAUGUUUCAUUUCUCAGAGUUUGUCGAAUAUAAAAAAAGGCAGAUACUUGGCUGGUGAUAAGAAAACAACAAGGAAAACAACCUUCAAUUCAUCCUGAUGCCGAACUAAACAUUCAUCUUAUAUGAACGAUUCAUGGAGAGAGAGAGGGAAGAAAAAGAAAACCUGUUUCUGUUUAUCUUUACCAUGAAAUUUAGCCUCUUUCCCUCUGAACAAUCUGAGUGAAUGAUUCUUACCUAUUCUGAUGGACUCACAAGUUACCAAAUAUCCAAAAGGAAAAGCGGAUUCGUUUGCAGGGGGAAAGAAGACGGGUCUCUCUCUCUCUCUCUCUCUCUGGGCAAGAAACUACCUGAUCCUCGAUAAAUUCAUCCUAUUUGGAGAUGUCAAUCGUCAAUAAUUAUCUUACGGGAGAAAGAAAGAUGAAAGUACUUCGUAAGAACGAGAUAAUCAACUGAAAGAAAAAGUAAAGAAAAAAGAAAGAAAACCAAACGUAAUCACCAAGAAUAUAACGUUGUUAGUUAAUUUAUGGUUGGAUUGUUGCUGUUGUUAAGUCUUCAUAAUAUUACGAGAAAUUAACUAAUUGCCCUCUCAUCAAAAUACAAUGGAAAUGAAAGUCAAAUUAACUUGUUAUUUACAUCGUUUACUUAUGCUUCGUUGAUGUAAAAUCAACAUGCAAAUUAAGAAAUUUGGAAAAGCUAAUUGGAGGAAAUUUGAUUGUUUCGCUGAUCAUAACUUACAUCAUCCAACGUCUUCCAUCAUUUCUAACAUGCUGUUGAAAACGAUCAUUUGAAAAUGACGUGAAUUCUGUCAAUUGGAUAAAAAGUAUCACAAGUCUCUGGAACCACGAGCCUUACAUGCUCAUCAUAAGGGUGUUAUAUUGGUUUCUCUAUUGUUUCUCAUUUCUCCACCGCCUAAAGUACAUAAUCUAUUACACACCCAAUCAGAAUAUGGUGGAGUACAUACAAGGAGUAGGAGUAUAAAACAAUUGAAGAAAAGGAGUAAACAAAACACGAUAAAGAAAAGAACGAUAUUAUAAUUGAAACGAAAGAUUCUACUGGCGAAGAGGAAAAACAAAGAAAAGACGAAGAUACUAUGGAAAGAAUAGAAAAUUAGAGAAUCGUUUCUACUUCUUUUUCUUUAUAAUACAACAAUGUUGUUAGAAGAAUUAAUUUAUCACUUGAUUAAAGAGUGAAAAUGCAACCCGUGAAUCCACAGAGUGACCACCAAUGUACAAUCGCCACUACAUUCCCACUGACCAUUACUUUUCUCUCUCUCUCUUCCACCUUUCCCAGAAUUCAUGAUGGAAUACUUAAUGAUAACCUGCCGAGGAGAAAGAAUGAAUUUCUUUCUCACCUGUUGAUUGGAAAAGUUGAUGAAUCCAUUUUCUCAGAACCGAAAGUGUUAUGUAAUCAAAUCAGGGAAAGAGAUGGAAAUUGAAAGUCUACAAUUAAAUCUACACCAACAAAAGAUAUUCAAGUUAACAGGCCAAAAAGAAACAUUGGCUGAUCAAGAGAAAGAUGAACCAGAACCUGAAAAAGUUUCUUCUUUUCUGAUGACGUUUUUUUAUAUCUUCCAACAAGAAGAAGAAGAAGAGAAAAAGAAAAAAGCUCAAAUAAGUUAUGCGUCAAUAGAUAUUUGUGCUGUUAAUGUUGAUUAUUUUCUCUUCAUCAACAGUUGAGUCUCCAUGAUGAUAAUUAUGAUGAUAAUCUCGAAUAGGAUGGCUAACAGAGCUGCAAGAGAGAAAGUCUAACAUGAACAUAAUUGACUGAAUUUACAUGAACCAGGGGAAUGAAAAGAGGACAAUGAAUAAGAAAAAGAAGAUAGAUUAUUAAUUAUUCAGCCUAAAGAGGAAAAGGAAAAUAUUUUCAAGAUGAAGAAAAUGAUGAUAACUUUGUUUGCCUUUAUAAUAGAAUUGGAGAAAAACUGAAAACGUGUUGGAGGAUAAAAAGAAUAAUAAUUUUCCUCAAGGCCUAUUAAUAUUAGAACUGUCAGUCUACAAUAACAAUCAACAAGGUGGGAGCAGAUGAUGAUCAUCAGAUGAGAAGAAAACAAGCUUACAGAAAAUUUCAUCGGCCAUAUUUUUCGUUCAGAUUUGGUAACAAUGGUAAUCAGAUGAAACAAAAGGAUUGAAUGGAAAUCAGUGUGAAUAUAAAAAGAUCAUGAUGAUAAUACAAAUUUCACGAUUAAUUCAGCAAAUACAAUCUUCUAAUACCAUUGGAAUCAACAUUUUAAGUUUCUAUUAAUACAUUUUAUCCACAUCAACUUAAUCCAAUUGGAAUCAACUUCUAUCCUUUGUUAUAAUUGUUACCAAAGGGGUUUUUGAAUUGGUACUUGGUGAUUACUUUGCUCUCUCUCUCUCUCUCUUCCAUUGUAUUUCAAUCUCUCCCUCGUAUAAUUGUUCAAUGGACAUCAAUAGGACUCCUACAUGAUAAUUUCAUUUCAUUAUUUUCUGCUAAAUCAUCAACAUACUUCAAUUUUCAUUAUCAUUUUGCUUUUGUAAAAGGUUGAUUGUUAACACGCAAUGCUCUGGUAACUAAGCUAUUAUAUUCAUUAUCAAUGUUACCUAAUGUAUGAUGAUGAUGAUAAAAUGAUUAUCAUCAUUGAACUUCCCUUUCCCUUUCUAUUUCUCUGUCUCCAUGUAAAAAAAUGAGUGAUUACUUGAAAAAAAAAGAGUUGAAAUAAUAAUAGAAAGCUCAAUAACCUUGGAUUACCCUGUUAAAUAAUAACCCAAUCCAAUGGGGUUUUCUUAAAUUACUUUAAUUAUCAACAAUCAAUCUAAUCAAUUGUUUAAUAACAAGUCAAUUCCUAAUCAUCAAAACCAUUAAAUUGUUACUCUUUUAAUGUUUACAAACAAAUAUGAAAACAAUUUGCUACCAAUUCGCUGAUCGUAUUUGAAAAAUUAUGUAAUAACAUUCAGACAAUUAUAAUUGCUGACAAUUAACAUUAAUCAUGUAAUGAGUUAACCAUGAAAUCAGUUCAAUUCAUCAAUUGUUUAUUGCGGCUGAAAAAUACAAUCUAAUUGAUGAACAUCAAGAUCAAUCAUCAAUGAGAAACAAAAUGGAAU